rnacentral:rRNA from 1 species
UCCUGAAGGAACGUUGAAGACGACGACGUUGAUAGGCCGGGUGUGUAAGCGCAGCGAUGCGUUGAGCUAACCGGUACUAAUGAACCGUGAGGCGUAACCUUACAAGGCCGAAGCUGUU